rnacentral:ncRNA from 2 species
UUCCAUUCUCAGGGCGGGGUGAAAUUCCCCACCGGCGGUUAUAGCCCGCGAGCGCCACCUCUACGGGGUGGGUCAGCAGAUCCGGUGGAAUUCCGGGGCCGACGGUCAUAGUCCGGAUGGGAGAGAAUGUAC